AUCUGCCUUCGCCUGGCUGCUCCUAGGCGCCCCAGCCUGCCGCGCCGCGGAGCCCCCGAGACCCCCUCGCCGCUCCUCCGCACCCAGCCGCUCCCCCAGGGCCCCGCGGCGGGGAGGUCUGCUCUGCCGAGAGUCACCCCCCUCUAGCUACACACAGCUCGGUUGGGAGCCGGGGAGGGGGGCGGGCGGUUGCUUUCUGAGUUGGCCGGAUAACGUGGGUAAUUUCUUCCCCACCCCCCAGCACCCCGCCCCCCGGAGAAGAGGGAUAGGGGGGAGUGGAGAUCGGAGGGGAAAGUGAACGGCAAAGGAUUGAAAGUGUCACAUUCACUGGCUCUGAUCUGAAGGCGGCGGAGGGACCCGGCCUCACCCCCCAGCCCCCGAGAGGAGGAGGAGGAGGAAAAGGGGCGGUUUAGUGGCAGCGCCGGCUGUGCCGAGGCGUCUCAGCCUGUGCUGUGUGCGCCAGCCGGGAGAGGAGGGGGUUGUGUGUGGUGCCUCUCCCCUGGGUUGCAUGCAAAGCUAACUGUGUGGCUGUCUCUCUCCGGGCCGGGGGAUUGCACUCUUAAAAUAAACCCGGUACAAUGCACCAGCCUGACUCAGCCGCAGACAUUAGUCCUAGGAAGAUGGCGCACCCGGCAAUGUUUCCUAGAAGGGGCAGCGGCAGCAGCAGCGGCGGCAGCUGCGUUACUGCGCUCAAUGCACCAGGUACCGGCGCUGGUAGCGGUGCCCUCUCCACCGAGGAUUAUCCGCCGCCUCUGCUCAUCCAGCCGCCGCCUCCGUCUCUUGCAGCAUCUUCAUCGGCGGGUCCACAGCCGCCACCCCCUCCUCCACAAAGCCUGAAUCUCCUUGCCCAGUCUCAGCCUCUUGCACAGGCUGGAGCCCAAAUGAAAAAGAAAAGUGGCUUCCAAAUUACCAGCGUGACCCCUGCUCAGAUCUCUGCCAGUAUGAGCUCUAACAACAGCAUAGCGGAGGACACGGAAAGCUACGACGAUCUGGAUGAGUCCCACACUGAAGACCUGUCUUCUUCAGAAAUUUUGGAUGUUUCUUUAUCCAGGGCCACUGACUUGGGUGAACCUGAACGGAGCUCCUCCGAAGAGACUUUAAAUAACUUCCAAGAGGCUGAGACUCCUGGGGCCGUCUCUCCAAACCAGCCUCACCUUCCUCAGCAGCAUCCCCCUUUGCCACAUCACCCACAGCAGAGUGUUGUGAUCAAUGGAAAUGUUCACCCCCAUCAUGGUCACCAUCACCACCACCUUCAUCAUCACCAUCAUGGGCAUCCUCAUCCAUCGCAUCCCGGGGUGGGUAGUACACCAGCUUCUGGAGGACCACCCCCAAGUCCAUCAUUUAGAAAGCUGUCCACAACUGGAAGCUCUGACAAUGUUAUCACAACUGCACCAGUUUCUGCUGCAUCAUCCACUGGUACACCUACAGCUGCCCUGUCUAAUAUUCGCACUACAAGUACUGGCAAUAUAGGUGUAAGUCCUGUUACUGGAACUAGUACGUUAAGUAAUGUGGGUGGUGGUAGUCCUAGUAUGACAAGCAGCAUGCUUGGUAACGUUAAUAUAAACUUAAGCAACAUCACAAGUACUGCUAAUGUACAUGCUUUGUCUGGAACCAGCAGCAAUGUUAAUGUGAAUAUCUUGAGUGGUGUUGGCAAUGGUACGUGUGCUUCCUCUAAUGUCAUUAAUAAUGUUACUAAUCCAACUGCAGGAAUGGCAGUGGGAUCAAGUCAGCAGCAGCCUGCAGCUGGCACAUCAAGGUUUAGAGUUGUAAAAUUAGAUUCUAGUUCUGAACCUUUUAAAAAAGGUAGAUGGUUAUGCACUGAAUUCUAUGAUAAAGAAAACACUGUAGCAGUUACAGAAGGAGUAGCAGUAAACAAAGCGGUAGAGACUAUAAAACAAAAUCCACUUGAAGUGACUUCUGAAAGGGAGAGCACCAGUGGGAGUUCUGUUAGCAGCAAUGUAAGCACACUGAGUCACUACACAGAAAGUGUGGGAAGCGGGGAAAUGGGAGCACCUACUGUGAUACAACAGCAGACAUUUCAAGGUGUGGGUCCACAGCAGAUGGAUUUUAGUUGUGCUGGACCUCAGACUAUUCCAGCAUCCAAUAUACCGCAGAGUAUUUCUCAAUCACAGCUUGCACAAGUACAAUUGCCUUCUCAAGAAGUAAAUUAUCCACAGCAAAAGCAAGGAGUCCAGUCUUCAGCGCAGGCUACUCUACCAGCUGUUACUGGUGUUCAGCCAACUCCAGUUAAUGUAGUAGGUGUAUCAUUAGGUCACCAACAACCUGCUAUUCCAAGUGUGGCUCAACAGCAGCUACCAUAUUCUCAACCCUCACGAUCUGUGCAAACUUUGCCUGUUGUACCACAGCAGCAGUUACAGUAUGGACAACAACAGACACUUCCCAUGCAGAUGACCCCUGCACGAGUUAAAUCAGUGAAUCAGAGUUCUGUGACAGGGACCAUACCGGACUACAUACAACAUCAGCAGAUACUUCAACCUCCAGUGCCUGCUGUGCAAUCCAGCUCUACAGGAGUAGGAGCAGGAACACCGGUUCCUGUUGCUCAGGCACCAAGCAUCCAACCUUCUGUACAAGUACACCCUGCUGUGGCACCAGCUCAGCCUGUUGCACAUGCUCAGACAGCAAUGCCACCCGUAGGUACUAGUGGUCAAAUUAUUAACAUUGGACAACAAGGAAAUGUACCUGCUGUGGUACAGCAGCCACCUGUUGCAAACCAAAUUACACCUUCAGUUAUGCAGCAAAGUGCUGCUCCUCCAUCUUCACAAGUGGUGCAGCCUGUUCAGACUGGGAUAAUUCAGCAGGGACUACAAGCUGGUGCUUCAAGCCUUCCUCCGCAAAUGGUCAUUGCUUCACAAAAUGCUUUGUUACCUGUACAACCCCAGGCACAAGUAGAAACUGUAGUUCAAGGAAUGACCAGCCACCCAUUGCCUGCAGUUAGCCCUAUACCUUCUACUAGUACCGUUCCUGCUCCAAGUCAAGCUAGUUCAAAUGUACCUCUUGAUAUACCUUCUGCUCCUGUAAGUUUGGGUUCAUCACAGAACAUAGCACAAGCUUCAGCUGUGCAAAAUGGGAAUUUGAUUCAAAGUGUUAGUCAGCCUCCCUUGAUAUCAACUAGUAUAAGUAUGCCAGUGGCACAGAAUGUGCCACAGCAGAUACCGCUAAACUCUACCCAGUUCUCUGCACAAUCACUAACUCAGUCAAUUGUAAGCCAAAUUGAAGAUGGCAGGCGCCCUACAGAACCUUCCUUAGUUGGUUUACCGCAAGCUGCCAGUGGUGAAAGUGGUGUUGGAGCGUCAGCUGUUUCAGAUGGGAGUGGCAGCAACAUAACAUCCUCUGCUUCCCUUUUUCCACUGAAGGUACUGCCAUUGACAACGCAUCUUGUUGAUGGAGAGGAUGAGAGAAAUGACUUCUUCAGAGGCAGCAGCGAACAUUUUUCAAGGAAAUUUCUGGCACCCCUUUCCCUAGAGACUGAAAGCAUCCUUCAUGACAGUUGCUUUUAAUUCAAUGUGGAACACACCCCUCACCCUACAAGACUGUGGAACAGACUGUUCAAAGUAUUUCCCUGCUGAACUGACCACUUGAAAAAAACAUUGAGGGAUUCUUGAUCCUAACAGCUGGUCUUACAAUACAGAAUGACUGAGUCUAACAUUGCACACUGGUAUGCCUAUGAAGAGGCAUUACCAAAGUUAAUUAUGUCUAGUGCAAAUGCUGGGAGGUCUGACUGAGCAAAGCAGCUGACCCCCAAAGCAAAGGGAAGAAACCAACAGGAAAGAUGAUUGAAGAAAGGAAGAAGACAGAAUCCAAGAAAUAUCAGAGUGAGUCAGUUUCAGGCAGAAACUCUCAAGUUGCAGAGUCAAAAUGAGAUUUCCUUUGGGGAAGGAUCUGCUUCCAGGAUUUGCUCCUCCCUUGUUCCCUGGGUAGACACUGAAUUCUUGAACCCCCCCAUCAGUGUUGCAGGUAGGUAGAGUCCACUUGGGGAUUGCCGCUUGUAUUGCCUUCUCCUCAAGUGUGGAGGACUGACUUGGCUGGUCCUUUGCCCUUUCUUCUUUGUUGCCCACCUUUCUAGACUGAGAGGGGAAGAGCUUCUGGCUCAGCAGAUUUUUGUGAGAAAUAGGGAAGGCAUUUCUCUCCCCACCCACUUGGCUGUAGUUUUGGAAAGUUUCCUGUUGAGGGGUUUGUAUGUGCACCUCAUUGUCUCCAACCCCAACUCACAGUACUGUGUUGGGCUGUAGGCUCUCCUACUGCUCUUCCUCUCUCCCCUCUCUGCACAAAAGAGCUGAGAUACUAUGACUGUGGAAACCAUGUAGGCGGACCCAGACACACUUUUCUCUCAGCCAGGGAAAUCUGAUUUACUAGUUCUCGCAUCGCUGGAUUUUGCAAUUUCCCUGAUGCUUUGAUUUGCCUGUGUGACUACAAUGGAGCAGGGUGCCCGGGCAAGAACUCUCACCGAUCAAAGGGGAUGUUGCUGACCCUUCCCUGCAGCUAUGCCAAUGGCCCAGAGAAUGAUUUUAGUGUGAGAUUUUUUUUUUAAUGGGAGCUUAACUGUAAGCUCUCCCUCCUCACUUCACACCACAUGCUGCAGCAGCAGCUUCUCCCUCAGACUGCCCACUGCCAGACCUCCCCAUCUCCACCUGUGUCAUAGCUGAGGCAGACAGGCUAUUGUGGGUGUCCCCUGGCUGUAAACCACAGAGAUCAACCCUUCAAUGAGCAAUGGGAUUCUAAGAGGGCUUUUGGAGCCUCAAAGGUCCUGGCCCCUUUUCCCCCAGUCCUUCUUUCAUACUAAGAAAAUUCAACUAGAACUAUGUUGCACUCAAUACUCUACCCCAUGGAUCCAGUGGCUCUUCUCUCCCUCCUUGCUUCCCAAAAAUUGCUGCAUGAACUUUCAGCCCUUCAGUGCCAUGAGCCCUCAGUGGAAAGACCUUGAGGAGGGCCUUCUAGGAUUCCAGAUGAUGAGACUUUAUUCUUGAAUCUUGACCUUUCACAAGUAAGAUUUCCCUGAUACAAAUUGGGUUAUGGAAGAGGAGGUGGUGGUGUUUUUUUUGUUUUUUUGUUUUUUUCCAGAUCAUGCAGAAUCCUUAGAGCCAGAAUAUUAGCUGUCUUUGGGGUGGAAGCCCAGACAGAUUAUAGCUCCUAGGAAAUAAAUGUUCAUUCAGGAGACAUUCUGGUCUCCUGUAGUUCUUCGUUGAAGUGUUGUGCGGACUGUUUGUUUGAUCUGGCCCCUCUUACCUUGCUGACCCAGGGUUCAAGUAAAUACAUGGAUAAAGCUUGCAAGUCUCCAGCUGUACUACCGUGAGCAGAUCUUCAAAUCUCAAAUUAAGUGAAGUUGGGCCUCCUCAUCCUCUGCAUAGGCGACCUCAGGGGAAUCUGUGAAACCUGCUUCUCUUGUGCUCCAGACACUGCUGCUUUUAUAAGA